rnacentral:rRNA from 1 species
AGGACGAACGCUGGCGGCGCGCUUAAUACAUGCAAGUCGAGUGAGAACCGGACCUUCGGGUCCGGGGAAAGCGGCGAACGGGUGAGUAACACGUGGGUAAUCUGCCCUCGGUACUGGGAUAGCCCGGGGAAACCCGGAUUAAUACCGGAUAGCCUUUCGAGCUCUCGGGCUCGUUAGAAAAUGGUGGCUUCGGCUUCCGACUGAGGAUGAGCCCGCGGCGGAUUAGCUUGUUGGUGAGGUAAUGGCUCACCAAGGCCCCGAUCCCGUAGCUGGUCUGAGAGGACGAUCAGCCACACUGGGACUGACGACACCGGCCCAGUCUCCCGUACGGGAGCAGUCAGUAGGAAUCGUGCGCAAGUGGGACGAAAGCCUGACGCAGCGACGCG